rnacentral:lncRNA from 1 species
AGUAGAAUGAAAUUCAAAACAGUGUGGCUGUGGCCAUUGAAUGACACAUUAAAUUCAUCCAUUGACUGGGACAAUUUACGUGAACGUUUGUCUGUAACGACCACUGUUCACGACGUACCUACGAUAGACAUUUAAACUGUGGGGUCACCAAAGGUUUCUUAACGCCUUUUAUUAUAAAAUAAUUCGAAAAAUUAAUCAGGAAUAACCUUUAUGUUUU